rnacentral:rRNA from 1 species
GAUGAACGCUGGCGGCGUGCCUAAUACAUGCAAGUCGAGCGAACAGACGAGGAGCUUGCUCCUCUGACGUUAGCGGCGGACGGGGGAGUAACACGUGGAUAACCUACCUAUAAGACUGGGAUAACUUCGGGAAACCGGAGCUAAUACCGGAUAAUAUAUUGAACCGCAUGGUUCAAUAGUGAAAGACGGUUUUGCUGUCACUUAUAGAUGGAUCCGCGCCGCAUUAGCUAGUUGGUAAGGUAACGGCUUACCAAGGCAACGAUGCGUAGCCGACCUGAGAGGGUGAUCGGCCACACUGGAACUGAGACACGGUCCAGACUCCUACGGGAGGCAGCAGUAGGGAAUCUUCCGCAAUGGGCGAAAGCCUGACGGAGCAACGCCGCGUGAGUGAUGAAGGUCUUUGGAUCGUAAAACUCUGUUAUUAGGGAAGAACAAAUGUGUAAGUAACUAUGCACGUCUUGACGGUACCUAAUCAGAAAGCCACGGCUAACUACGUG